AGACUCUGGCUGGAGAGAGGGCGUCUCGGCCGGCCCCAUUGCACAGAGCAGACCGCCGAGGCCGGGAGAGAGAGAGAGGGGUCUUACCUAGAGUAGAGGCAUGUCUGCGGUUCGAAACCUGGCCCUCUCUCAAGAAACGGAGGCUUACAAAGAUACCCAAGCACUUUCCAGGAAGGGGCUGGCUGAGGGAGCGAUCAAGUGAGGAAUUUGACGCCCCCCUGUCCUUUGCGCUCUGUGCUGCCUCAGUUUCCCCAUCUGUACAGCACCUGCCUCCUCGGGUGGUGUUUAGAAUAAUUUAGACUCUGUGCUUGGAAAUGGAGGUUGAGAGAAAGAGAGAAUUUCCUAUCUGUCUUGGAAUAAAUCCAAACUCCUCCCAAUUCAUGGUCGGCCUUCCUGGUCCGUGCAGACCUCGCCUCUCACCACUCCCCCUGCUCACUCCGCUCCAGCCACAGGGGUCUCCUCUUGCUCUUCCCUCAAUGUCCCACCGCAGGGCCUUUGCACGUGUGCUGCCUCAGCCUGGAAUCCUAGGACUCCCCAUGGCCCAACCUUCCAGGCUUUCAAAGCCUUUCCUGACCACCUGGUGUCAGGUAGCCCUUCCAUCAGGUCGCUGUUUUUAAUUUUUUUGAAACAUCAAAAAAAAGAAAAAAAUUGCUCUAUCACCCAGGCUGGAGUACCAUGGUACGAUCACAGCUUGCUGCAGCCUCAACCUCCCGGGCUCAAGCGAUCCUCCCACCUCAGCCUCCUGAGUAGCUGGGACCACAGGUAUGCGCCACCACACCUGACUAAUUUUUUAAUUUUUUUGUAAAGAUGGAGGUCUCACUCUGUUGCCCAGGCUGGUUUUGAACUCCUGGGCUCAAGUGAUCCGCCUGCCUUGGCCUCCCAGAGUGCUGCGAUUACAGGUGUGAGCCGCCGCACCCGGCCUUGUGUUUUAUUUUCUUUUCAGCACUAACUCCAAUCUGAAUUGGAAAUGAAUCUUGCUUUUUGAAAAAUGCAUGGAUAUACUCUUUUAUUGUCUGUUCCCCGCCAAAACACACACAUGCACACAGAACAGGGAGCUCCCUGAGGCAGGGGUCCCGUCUGCCUCGUUCACAGCUGAAUCCUCAAGUCCUAGACCUGGGCCUGGCCCAUAGUAGGCGCUCGAUACAUCUUUGGGAAUAAAUGACAGGAGAGCAGACAUUAGGCAGAGGUGAGCCUGGGUGAGAGUGAGGGGUGGAUGCCCAGAUGGGGCUAGGCAGAAGGAAGGGGGAAGGCAGGAAAGCAAGAAGAGGUGGAGGUGGGGCCCCUGGGCCCAGGAGGAGACCCCUGAGGCAGUGGUCUGAAGUGGGGGUCUGGGUUGGUUUAUUUUCCCAGGGGCUGCCAGGAAGGGAGUGGACAGGUUGGGGGCUCCUGGAGAGGGCUGUAGAGCCGUCGUGGAGGGGCCUCUGGCUUGUCCUGGGUUCUGGGCUGGGUUGUGAUUGGCCUCAUGGGGAGCUGGUCCCCCAACCCUCGGGGAUCCCCUGAGAAUCCCAGGCACGAGGCACCUCCCAGCAGUCCACCCAACCCCAGUCGGGAGCCACGAGAUCAGCCUCUUCCCCCAGGGCAUGCUGGGGAAGGGGCAGGGGGCCGCAGAAAUGUGGGACCUGCCUCAGGUCCAGCUGGCCCAGGUCGCGAUGGGACAGACCCGGCGCUGGCAGGGGAGCAUCAGAACCAGAGGAGGGGUCCCAUGGCAUUGAGGCACACUCUGGGGUGAGCGCAAUGUUGUCAAAGAGGUCGAGGGUAGAGGUGUCCAGGGCAGCGAGACUCAGGCUGGCGCUGGCAUGGGGAGCCUCAGUGGGGGCCACAGCACAGGCCACUCCCAGGAAGGGGGAUGGAGGCGGUGGGGGUGGCUUUUGGAGCGAGGGUCUCUGGGGAGGUGCCUCCUGGGACAGGAUGGAGAGGGCCAGGCGCUGGGUGGCAGCCUCAAUCUUGGUGAACUGCCUGUAAAGACAGAUGUGAGCAGGCUGGUCUCUAACGCCUGAACUCAAGCGAUCCUCCUGCCUCGGCCUUUCAAGGUGCUGGGAUUGCAGGCUUGAGCCACCACCCCCGGCCAGCAUAUUUGCAAGGGUCACCUAUGUGGUCGCAUCACACCGUGCUAGUUAUUUAUUUUGGUGAUUCCUGACCGUCCGCCACCCCCAUGAAAACACAACCUCCACGACAGCAAGGAACUUUAUCUGCUUUGCUAACUGGCCUGGCACACAGUAGGCACUCAAUAAAUGCACGUUGACUGUUGCUGGCAUCCAGCCCUGGGGGCUGCUCCUCUCUGUCUGUACCUGGUCUCCCCCAGCCAAGGGUGCUGGUUGCUCCUUCCCCUCUUCCCCGUCCCGUGCCCACCUUCCCCACCAGCCCCCUCACCUGCAGAUCUGGUUGUGCAGAAACCUUCUGUGGUUGGGCCGCCUCUUGGGGGGCCGGGUGCGCCGGGGCUGCAGGGCCCGCAGCAUGUGG
rnacentral:lncRNA from 10 species